rnacentral:rRNA from 1 species
CAGUAGCCGCGGUAAUACGAAGGGUGCAAGCGUUACUCGGAAUUACUGGGCGUAAAGCGUGCGUAGGUGGUGGUUUAAGUCCGUUGUGAAAGCCCUGGGCUCAACCUGGGAAUUGCAGUGGAUACUGGGUCACUAGAGUGUGGUAGAGGAUAGUGGAAUUUCCGGUGUAGCAGUGAAAUGCGUAGAGAUCGGAAGGAACACCAACGGCGAAAGCACUCUGCUGGGCCGACACUGACACUGAGAGACGAAAGCUAGGGGAGCAAAUGGGAUUAGAUACCCCCGUAGUCCCUGUCUCUUAUAC